rnacentral:rRNA from 1 species
AUGCAAGACUACUUCGCAGAGAAUCCAACAUAUCCGCCACACCUCUUCCGGAGAAGGUACCGAAUGCGCCGAUCCCUCUUUGUGAAAAUUGUUCAAGCUUGCGUGGCCAAUUAUCGGUAUUUUACUCAAAGAAGAAAUGUCGCGGGCUUGAAGGGAUUUAGUGCAUAUCAAAAAAUCUCGGCAGCUAUGUGGGUAAUUGCAUAG